AUCUCCCAUAAAAAAAAAAGUUUGUGGUCUUUUGACUUGAAGUUUUGGAUUAAGUUUUUAAUGAUUAUCCUUAUUUUGUUUCCAAGGAGCAAGGAAACAUGGACCUUCUCUGUGUCUUUACUGAAACAUUACUGGUCCAAGGUUUUGGUGGGCCUGUUCCAUGUAGCUGCCUUGUGCUGCCCAACAUGUUGUACGUCAUACAUUUUAGAUAAACUACUGUUAUUUUCCAGGUCACAGUGUUUUCUCUACACCACACUCUAUGUGCAGGGCUCAUGUUGAUCUCUUUGGAGGUCAACCUUUGGGGAUAUUUAAGAAAAGGGAAGAAGAUACCCAUGGACCUGCUGCUCCAAUAUCAGUGUUGCCCACAUGGGAGAGAUUGUACCUACAUGAGCUGGAGCAGAGUAUGCAGCAUCCUCCUAGUAAUGCCUUUGUGGAGAUGAUACAGUGGACUUAGCAAGGCAAGCUGUGGACCUUCCCCAUUGAUAAUGAAGCAGGUUUGGUGGAGGAAAUGAAAGUGGGAUUCCAUGAGCAUGUCUUCCUUGAGAGACACUUGGAAGGAUGGUGCCCAAAACGUGGCCCCAUCAGACACUUCAUGGAGCUGGUUUGCACUGGACUCUCAAAGAAUCCUCAUCUAACUGUGGAGCGAAAAGAAGCACAUAUUGAAUGGUACAAGAACUACUUCAACCAAAAAGAGAAUUUGCUUAAAGAGUUGGGAGCUAUAGAGGUUUCUAUAAUUACAAUUGGACAAUGCUGAGUAUUUCAAGGCAAGUUGCCAUUCAUGUUUCUCUUUGUAGAAUUUUAUUAUUGUAAAUUUCAGGUUUUAUGCACAAUGGAUGCAUGCAGUAUUUGCUGGUGGAUUAGAUACACCUCCACAUCACACCCAUAUUUUAUAAGGAGAUUUUGAAAAAGAGAAAAUUUAUUGUGUUUUGAGAGGGGGAGGGGGGAAUUCAUCAUCUGACACAAAUGAUUGCUUUGCCACAACAGAACCAAGUCUUUGAUAAAUAGUGUUCAGCGGACUACUUCUGAACACAGAUCACCCCAUAUCCCCUUAACCAUAUUUCACUACCUCUUCUGUGUUCUGUAUUAGAUGCAGGGUAUUUUUUAUUUAUUUUUUUCCCAUCUAAUCCACUAGAAAAUACAGCAGAUGCCUGAAGACCUUGUAAAUAAUCAGAAUAUUUGAUA